AGUGAACGCUGGCGGCAGGCCUAAUACAUGCAAGUCGAACGGCAGCACAGCAGAGCUUGCUCUGUGGGUGGCGAGUGGCGGACGGGUGAGGAAUACAUGGGAAUCUGCCCAGUCGUGGGGGAUAACGUAUGGAAACGUACGCUAAUACCGCAUGCGCCCUAAGGGGGAAAGCCGGGGACCGCAAGGCCUGGCGCGAUUGGAUGAGCCCAUGUUCGAUUAGCUAGUUGGCGGGGUAAAGGCCCACCAAGGCGACGAUCGAUAGCUGGUCUGAGAGGAUGAUCAGCCACACUGGAACUGAGACACGGUCCAGACUCCUACGGGAGGCAGCAGUAGGGAAUAUUGGACAAUGGGGGCGAACCCUGAUCCAGCCAUGCCGCGUGAGUGAAGAAGGCCUCGGUUGUAAAGCUCUUUUUCCGGAAGAAAAGCAAUCGGUU
rnacentral:rRNA from 1 species